AAAGAGGCAUUAUUUUCAUUCGAGGACGUGCCUUCCUCUUUGCCUCCUGCUGUCACUAAUAUUUUGCAGGAGUUCGCUGACGUCUUUCCACAAGACGUGCCACUGGGAUUACCGCCUAUUCGAGGGAUUGAGCAUCAGAUUGACUUAAUUCCCGGUGCUUCACUGCCAAACCGUGCACCAUACCGUACCAAUCCAGAGGAGACGAAGGAGAUUAUGCGUCAAGUACAAGAGCUUCUCGACAAAGGUUAUAUACGUGAAUCCCUUAGUCCUUGUGCUGUUCCUAUUAUUCUAGUGCCGAAAAAGGAUGGUACAUCACGUAUGUGUGUUGAUUGUAGAGGCAUUAAUAAUAUUACUAUUCGUUAUCGUCAUCCUAUUCCUAGGCUAGAUGAUAUGCUUGAUGAAUUGAGUGGCUCUACAAUAUUCUCCAAAGUUGAUUUACGUAGUGGAUACCAUCAAAUUCGUAUGAAAUUGGGAGAUGAAUGGAAAACAGCAUUCAAAACUAAGUUUGGAUUGUAUGAGUGGUUAGUCAUGCCUUUUGGGUUAACUAAUGCACCUAGUACUUUCAUGAGAUUAAUGAACGAAGUUUUACGUGCUUUCAUUGGACGAUUUGUGGUAGUUUACUUUGAUGACAUAUUGAUUUAUAGCAGAUCUUUGGAAGGACAUUUGGAACAUUUACGUGCUGUUUUUAUUGCUCUACGUGAUGCACGUUUGUUUGGUAACCUUGGGAAGUGCACCUUUUGCACCGACCGAGUAUCUUCUCUUGGCUAUGUUGUGACUCCACAGGGAAUUGAAGUUGAUAAAGCCAAGAUUGAAGCUAUUGAGAGUUGGCCGCAACCCAAAACGGUCACACAAGUGAGGAGUUUUCUUGGCCUCGCUGGAUUCUAUAGGCGUUUUGUGAGAGAUUUCAGCACCAUUGCUGCACCUCUCAAUGAGCUUACAAAGAAAGAUGUGCCUUUUCUUUGGGGUACCGCACAGGAAGAAGCCUUCACGGUAUUGAAAGAUAAGUUGACACAUGCUCCUUUACUCCAACUUCCUGAUUUUAAUAAGACUUUUGAGCUUGAAUGUGAUGCUAGUGGAAUUGGAUUAGGAGGUGUGUUAUUACAAGAUGGCAAACCUGUUGCAUACUUUUCUGAAAAAUUGAGUGGGCCUAGUCUGAAUUAUUCUACUUAUGAUAAAGAAUUAUAUGCUCUUGUUCGGACUUUAGAAACAUGGCAACAUUAUUUAUGGCCCAAAGAAUUUGUUAUACAUUCUGAUCAUGAAUCUUUGAAACAUAUUAAAAGUCAAGCUAAUCUGAAUCGUAGACAUGCUAAAUGGGUUGAAUUCAUUGAGACUUUCCCUUAUGUCAUUAAACACAAGAAGGGAAAAGAAAAUGUUAUUGCUGAUGCAUUGUCUCGUCGCUAUACUAUGCUUUCACAACUUGACUUCAAAAUAUUUGGUUUGGAGACCAUCAAAGAUCAAUAUGUGCAUGAUGCUGAUUUUAAAGAUGUAAUGCAGAAUUGUAAAGAAGGAAGAAUGUGGAACAAGUUUGUUGUUAACGAUGGAUUUGUGUUUCGUGCUAACAAGCUAUGCAUUCCAGCUAGCUCCGUUCGUCUUUUGUUGUUGCAGGAGGCGCAUGGAGGAGGAUUAAUGGGACACUUUGGCGUGAAGAAGACGGAGGACGUACUUGCUACACAUUUCUUUUGGCCAAAGAUGAGACGGGAUGUUAAGCGUUUUAUUGCUCGCUGCACUACAUGUCAAAAAGCUAAGUCACGACUCAAUCCUCAUGGUUUAUAUAUGCCUUUGCCUGUACCUAGUGUUCCUUGGGAGGAUAUAUCUAUGGACUUUGUUUUAGGUUUACCUCGAACAAAGAAGGGGAGGGAUAGCAUAUUUGUUGUCGUGGAUAGAUUCUCGAAAAUGGCACACUUUAUACCAUGUCAUAAAAGCGAUGAUGCUGUUAAUGUUGCUGAUUUGUUUUUUCGUGAAAUUAUUCGCUUGCAUGGUGUGCCAAAUACUAUUGUUUCAGAUCGUGAUACUAAAUUUCUUAGCCACUUUUGGAGAUGUUUAUGGGCUAAGUUGGGGACUAAACUGCUUUUUAGUACUACUUGUCACCCCCAAACUGAUGGACAAACUGAAGUAGUCAAUAGAACGUUGUCUACUAUGCUUAGGGCUGUUUUGCAGAAUAAUAAGAAAAUGUGGGAGGAAUGCUUGCCUCAUAUUGAAUUUGCUUAUAAUCGUUCAAUGCAUUCUACUACUAAGAUGUGCCCUUUUGAAGUUGUGUAUGGUUUCCUACCUCGUGCACCUAUUGAUUUGUUGCCUCUUCCAUCUUCGGAGAAGGUUAAUUUUGAUGCUAAACAACGUGCUGAAUUGAUUUUAAAAAUGCAUGAGUUAACUAAGGAAAACAUUGAGCGCAUGAAUGCUAAAUAUAAACUUGCUGGAGAUAAGGGUAGAAAACAUGUUGUGUUUGCACCUGGAGAUCUUGUUUGGUUACAUUUGCGUAAGGAUAGAUUUCCUGAUUUGCGCAAAUCAAAGUUAAUGCCACGUGCUGAUGGUCCCUUUAAGGUGUUAGAGAAAAUAAAUGAUAAUGCAUAUAAACUUGAGCUGCCUGCAGAUUUUGGGGUUAGUCCCACUUUUAACAUUGCAGAUUUGAAGCCUUAUUUGGGUGAGGAAGAU
rnacentral:rRNA from 1 species